CCUACGGGUGGCAGCAGUGAGGAAUAUUGGUCAAUGGUCGGGAGACUGAAGCAGCCAAGCCGCGUGAGGGAUGAAGGUACAGAGUAUCGUAAACCUCUUUUGUCAGGGAACAAAGGCGGGGACGUGUCCCCGGAUGAGUGUACCUGAAGAACAAGCAUCGGCUAACCCCGUGCCAGCAGCCGCGGUAAUACGGAGGAUGCGAGCGUUAUCCGGAUUUAUGGGGUUAAAGGGGUGCGCAGGCGUUCUGUUAAGUCAGCGGUCAAAGCCCGGGGCCAAACCCCGGCCCGCCGUUGAAACUGGCAGUCUCGAGUUGGAGAGAAGGAUGCGGAAUGCGCGGUGUAGCGGUGAAAUGCGUAGAGAUCGGGCAGAACUCCGAUUGCGAAGGCAGCAUGCCGGCUCCACACUGACGCUGAGGCACGAAAGCGUGGGUAGCGAACAGGAUUAGAUACCCCAGUAGUC
rnacentral:rRNA from 1 species